rfam:Thecamonas trahens ATCC 50062 unplaced genomic scaffold supercont1.79, whole genome shotgun sequence.
GGGCGUGUAGCUCAGGGGUAGAGCAAUGCAUUGCAGCUGCAUAGGUCGGCGUUUCGAUUACGUCCGCGCCCU